GGAUUUUUAUUAUUUUUUUAUUUUUAGAAUUUUUUAGAUUUUUUAUUAUUUUUUUUAUUUUUUAGAAUUUUUUUGAUUUUUUAGAAUAUUUUGGAUUUUUUAUUAUUUUUUUGAUUUUUUAGAAAUUUUUAUUUUUUAGAAUUUUUUUUGAUUUUUUUAGAAUGUUUUUGAUUUUUUUAGAAUGUUUUUGAUUUUUUUUUAUUAUUUUUUGGUUUUUAGACAAAAAUGAAAGAGGCAAGAGUUAUUUCCGUAACUUUGGAAACAUUCCCGUGGUCUUUUAAACUUUCCUUUGAAAUUUAGAAGGAAUCUGAAUUCCAUUAAAUAAGGGAUUUUGUUGGAAUUGAAAUCCAAUUCCCAUCAACUAAUUUGUCCAACCAAACACACAAAGGAAUGAAAUUCAAAUUCCAAUUCUCUUGAAAUCCUAUGCAUUCCUGUCAACCAAACAGACCCUUAUAAUCAUUUUUUAUGUGCUUAUAUUUAUGUAUGUCUCGAAUCAUUUUUUAUGUGCUUAUAUUUAUGUAUGUAUCGAUAUAAGUUCAAGUUAAUUACGUUUCUUUUAAAAUGGGUAGGCUCAAAUACAAUAUGUUUUUUUUUUAUUUUUUGCUUUUUUUACGUUUCAAACUGAUCUACGUUUUGGCAUAAAUUUUGUUUUACAACAAGUUGGGUCAAAUUUGACUUACUUUAUGUUUCGGCCACCGUAAAGCGCGGUACCAUUUUUAGCUUAAAAAUAUUUUUUUUACUUUUUUUUAUUUACGUGUUUGUAUAAGUUCAGUUUUUUUUAAGAUUUCAGUUCAUCCACAUUUUGGCAUAAAUUUUGGUUUACAACAGGUGAGGUCAAAUAUAAUAUGUUUUCAUUAGACUUUAUAAAUUCGACUUAAUUUACGUUUUGGCGUCAUCGCAACGCGCGGUACCAUUUUUAACUUAUGAAAAAUUAUAUUUUUUCUUUUUUUUUUGUAGAUGUCGGUAUAAGUUUAUGUUGGUGUUCAAUGUAAAAAAAAUUCGCCAAUAAGUGGGGCCAUAUAUACAUUUUCAUAUUUAUUUCGAUGUACAUGUCUUUACUAUACAAAUUCGAGUUGCUUUACAUUUGUACCCGCCCGCGCUACUCGCGUGAAAAUUAACUUGUAUUAAACGAAGAAUAGAUCCCAAAUGAUAUAAUUUUUGUUUUGGAAUUUUGAUUGAAGGAAGAAAAACCAACGGUCAGGAAUUGUGGUUUUCAACCUAGCUAAGAUAAAGGAUAAAGUCUCGAUUC
rnacentral:lncRNA from 1 species